rnacentral:rRNA from 1 species
CACGUAGGGUGCGAGCGUUGUCCGGAAUUAUUGGGCGUAAAGAGCUCGUAGGCGGUGUGUCGCGUCGGCCGUGAAAACCUGCAGCUUAACUGUGGGCUUGCGGUCGAUACGGGCAUCACUGGAGUUCGGCAGGGGAGACUGGAAUUCCUGGUGAUAGCGGUGAAAUGCGCAGAUAUCAGGAGGAACACCGGUGGCGAAGGCGGGUCUCUGGGCCGAUACUGACGCU